CUACGGGGGGCUGCAGUUUCGAAUAAUUCACAAUGGGCGCAAGCCUGAUGAUGCGACGUUACGUGAAGGAAGAAAGCUUUAAGUUGUAAACUUCUGUCGUUAAGGAACAAAAAAUUAAGUAGUACUUUUUAUAUUGAGUUAACUUAAAAAGGAAGCAGUGGCUAAUUUCGUGCCAGCAGCCGCGGUAAUACGGGAACUGUAAGCGUUGCUCGGUUUUAUUGGGCGUAAAGAGUACGUAGGCUGUUAUAUAUGUUAAUUGUUAAAUUUUAAAGUUAAUCUUUAAAUUUGCUGUUAAAACUAUAUAACUAGAAUUUCAAAGAGGUAAGUGGGAUUUCAAGUGUAGCGGUGAAAUGCGUAGAUAUUUGAAGGAACACCAAUGGCGAAAGCAACUUACUGGGUGAUAAUUGACGCUAAAGUACGAAAGUAUAGGGAGCAAAAGGGAUUAGAUACCCGCGUAGUC
rnacentral:rRNA from 1 species